rnacentral:misc_RNA from 1 species
ACAGCUAGAGCAGUUCCAAACUGACCGUGAUGCAGAUAAAGAGAAGGAAGAGCCUGGCACUGAUUUAGUAUUGUACAGGAGAAUCGCCGAGGUGAAGGCUAAUGAAAGGAGAAAAGCUUUAGAAGAGAUUUUGUAUGCCUUGGUUGUGCAGAAAUUUAUGGAUGCUAAUGUUUCUUUGAUACCCACAAUAGCCCCCUCUUCUGCUGACCCAUCUGACCGUGUGGAUAAGUGGCUGAGCCAAGACGAGAAGAUUAAGCAACUUCACUCUCCUGAAGCAUAUGAGAUGAUUCAGAACCACCUAGCUCUCAUUUUGGGAAACAGGGCAGCAGAUUCAACUGCAGUAGCACAGAUAAGCAAACUGAGGGCUGGACAGGUGUACGCAGCAUCUGUGAUGUAUGGAUACUUCCUCAAGCGUGUUGAUCAGAGGUUUCAGCUUGAGAAGACAAUGAAAAUCCUUCCUAACGUAGUGGAUGAGCGAGAUAGUAAUGUUCAACAAGAUAUGAAAUCUAGUCGCGGAGAGGAUGCCUUUCAAGCUGUGUCAUCCCACCCAGAGGCCUGGGCCGGUGGUAUCAGUCCAGGGGGAUUUGGUNAAUGGCAUAAAUUCCUCUCGACUGCGGAGUUAUGUGAUGUCCUUUGAUGGAGAGACACUUCAAAGACAUGCAACAAUAAGAUCCAAAGAGGCAAUUAGCAUCAUUGAGAAGCACACAGAGGCCUUGUUUGGAAGACCAGAAAUUGUGAUAACUCCUCAAGGGACCAUUGACUCUUCCAAGGAUGAACUUGUGAAGAUCAGCUUUGGUGGUUUGAGGAGACUAGAGGCUUGUUUUGGAGGCUGUGACUUUUGGUUCGUUCCUCUGGGAUGUUGAGAGCUAUGUGGAUUCAAGGUACCAUUUUGUUAUGAACUGAGGAAUUCUUGCCUGGAUUCCUGUUAAAGCAAAUUUGUGUCAAGAGGUACAACUAACCGAAUUUAAAUGUCUUGAGUGAGAGUAAAUUACUAUAUCCGGUGAUAACAUCCUAGUAAUUGUACUGAUAUUUCUAUUCAUAGUUUUGUUAAUGUAAGUUCUUGUUUUAAUUUGCAUGGUGAAAAAAUGGUACCUUGUAAAACGAAUUUCAUAUAGCCAUCUCCGUUUCACCAUGCAAACUAAAACAAGAAAUUACAU